GACGAACGCUGGCGGCGUGCCUAACACAUGCAAGUCGAACGGUGCUGACAGAAGCUUGCUUUUCUUAGCUUAGUGGCGAACGGUUGAGUAACGUGUUCUUACCCUGCCCUGGAGUGGGGGACAACACUUGGAAACGACUGCUAAUACCGCAUAUGCCCACGAUCCGGCCUCUGCUUGCUGGAACAGGAUUUAUUCGCUUCAGCAUGGACUCACGUCCAGUUAGCUAGUUGGUGCGUUAACGGCCCACCAACGCAACGAUUGGUAGCCGGACUGCGAGUUUGAACGGACACAGUGGGACUGAGACACGGCCCAGACUCCUACGGGAGGCAGCAGUGGGGGAUAAUGAACAAUGGGGGAAACACUGAUGAAGAGGCGGCGAGUGGAGGAAGAAGGUUUUCGGAGUGUAAACUCCUGGCGGAAGGGACGAUAAUGACGGUACCUAAGAAGAAAGCACCGGCUAACUACGUG
rnacentral:rRNA from 1 species